UAAGGAAUAUUGGUCAAUGGACGCAAGUCUGAACCAGCCAUGCCGCGUGAAGGAUGAAGGUCCUCUGGAUUGUAAACUUCUUUUAUAGGGGGCGAAAAAAGGGGAAAUCUUUCUCACUUGACAGUACCCUAUGAAUAAGCACCGGCUAACUCCGUGCCAGCAGCCGCGGUAAUACGGAGGGUGCAAGCGUUAUCCGGAUUCACUGGGUUUAAAAGGGUGCGUAGGCGGGCGUAUUAAGUCAGUGGUGAAAUCCUGGAGCUUAACUCCAGAACUGCCAUUGAUACUAUAUGUCUUGAAUAUGGUGGAGGUAAGCGGAAUAUGUCAUGUAGCGGUGAAAUGCAUAGAUAUGACAUAGAACACCUAUUGCGAAGCAGCUUACUACGCCUAUAUUGACGCUGAGGCACGAAAGCGUGGGGAUCAAACAGGAUUAGAUACCCUGGUAGUCCACGCCCUAAACGAUGAUUACUCGACCGUGUGCGAUAAACGGUACGCGUCUGAGCGAAAGC
rnacentral:rRNA from 1 species